AUUGAACGCUGGCGGCAGGCUUAACACAUGCAAGUCGAACGAUGACUCUCUAGCUUGCUAGAGAAGAUUAGUGGCGGACGGGUGAGUAACAUUUAGGAAUCUGCCUAGUAGUGGGGGAUAGCUCGGGGAAACUCGAAUUAAUACCGCAUAUGACCUACGGGUGAAAGGGGGCGCAAGCUCUUGCUAUUAGAUGAGCCUAAAUCAGAUUAGCUAGUUGGUGGGGUAAAGGCCUACCAAGGCGACGAUCUGUAACUGGUCUGAGAGGAUGAUCAGUCACACCGGAACUGAGACACGGUCCGGACUCCUACGGGAGGCAGCAGUGGGGAAUAUUGGACAAUGGGGGCAACCCGGAUCCAGCCAUGCCGCGUGUGUGAAGAAGGCCUUUUGGUUGUAAAGCACUUUAAGCAGGGAGGAGAGGCUAAUGGUUAAUACCCAUUAGAUUAGACGUUACCUGCAGAAUAAGCACCGGCUAACUCUGUGCCAGCAGCCGCGGUAAUACAGAGGGUGCGAGCGUUAAUCGGAAUUACUGGGCGUAAAGCGAGUGUAGGUGGCUCAUUAAGUCACAUGUGAAAUCCCCGGGCUUAACCUGGGAACUGCAUGUGAUACUGGUGGUGCUAGAAUAUGUGAGAGGGAAGUAGAAUUCCAGGUGUAGCGGUGAAAUGCGUAGAGAUCUGGAGGAAUACCGAUGGCGAAGGCAGCUUCCUGGCACAAUAUUGACACUGAGAUUCGAAAGCGUGGGUAGCAAACAGGAUUAGAUACCCUGGUAGUCCACGCCGUAAACGAUGUCUACUAGCCGUUGGGGUCCUUGAGACUUUAGUGGCGCAGUUAACGCGAUAAGUAGACCGCCUGGGGAGUACGGCCGCAAGGUUAAAACUCAAAUGAAUUGACGGGGGCCCGCACAAGCGGUGGAGCAUGUGGUUUAAUUCGAUGCAACGCGAAGAACCUUACCUGGUCUUGACAUAGUGAGAAUCCUGCAGAGAUGCGGGAGUGCCUUCGGGAAUUCACAUACAGGUGCUGCAUGGCUGUCGUCAGCUCGUGUCGUGAGAUGUUGGGUUAAGUCCCGCAACGAGCGCAACCCUUUUCCUUAUUUGCCAGCGGGUUAAGCCGGGAACUUUAAGGAUACUGCCAGUGACAAACUGGAGGAAGGCGGGGACGACGUCAAGUCAUCAUGGCCCUUACGACCAGGGCUACACACGUGCUACAAUGGUAGGUACAGAGGGUUGCUACACAGCGAUGUGAUGCUAAUCUCAAAAAGCCUAUCGUAGUCCGGAUUGGAGUCUGCAACUCGACUCCAUGAAGUCGGAAUCGCUAGUAAUCGCAGAUCAGAAUGCUGCGGUGAAUACGUUCCCGGGCCU
rnacentral:rRNA from 1 species